rnacentral:rRNA from 1 species
CCUACGGGAGGCUGCAGUGGGGAAUAUUGCACAAUGGGGGAAACCCUGAUGCAGCGACGCCGCGUGAGUGAAGAAGGAUUUCGGUUUGUAAAGCGCUAUCAGCAGGGAAGAUAAUGACGGUAGCGAACUAAGAAGCCCCGGCUAACUACGUGCCAGCAGCCGCGGUAAUACGUAGGGGGCAAGCGUGAUGCGGAGUUACUGGGGGUAAAGGGUGCGUAGGUGGCAGUGUAAGGUAGAGGUGAAAGCCCGGGGCUUAACCCCGGUAUUGCAUUUGAAACUGUGCAGCUGGAGUGAAGGAGAGGUAAGCGGAAUUCCGAGUGUAGCGGUGAAAUGCGUAGAUAUUAGGAAGAACACCAGUGGCGAAGGCGGCUUACUGGACCGUUACUGACGCUGAGGCACGAAAGCGUGGGGAGCAAACAGGAUUAGAUACCCGGGUAGUC